GAACGCUGGCGGCAGGCCUAACACAUGCAAGUCGAACGCCGUAGCAAUACGGAGUGGCAGACGGGUGAGUAACACGUGGGAACGUACCUUUCGGUACGGAAUAACUCAGGGAAACUUGAGCUAAUACCGGAUACGUGCGAGAGCAGAAAGAUUUAUCGCCGAAAGAUCGGCCCGCGUCCGAUUAGCUAGUUGGUGAGGUAAUGGCUCACCGAGGCGACGAUCGGUAGCUGGUCUGAGAGGAUGAUCAGCCACACUGGGACUGAGACACGGCCCAGACUCCUACGGGAGGCAGCAGUGGGGAAUAUUGGACAAUGGGCGAAAGCCUGAUCCAGCCAUGCCGCGUGAGUGAUGAAGGCCUUAGGGUUGUAAAGCUCUUUCGCCAGGGACGAUAAUGACGGUACCUGGAUAAGAAGCCCCGGCUAACUUCGUGCCAGCAGCCGCGG
rnacentral:rRNA from 1 species